ACGGAUAUUAGCUUGCUAAUAUUGUCAGCUAAGUGGCGCACGGGUGAGUAAUAUAUAGUUAAUCUGCCCCAAAGAAGAGAAUAAUUGUUGGAAACGACUUGUAACGCUCUAUAUGCCUUUAUUACAUAAGUAAGCAAGGGAAACAUUUAUGGCUUUGGGAUGAGACUGUACGGUAUCAGCUAGUUGGCGAGGUAAUGGCUCACCAAGGCAAUGACAUCUAACUGGUUUGAGAGGAUGAUCAGUCACACUGGAACUGAGACACGGUCCAGACUCCUACGGGAGGCAGCAGUGGGGAAUAUUGCACAAUGGAGGAAACUCUGAUGCAGCAACGCCGCGUGGAGGAUGACACAUUUCGGUGCGUAAACUCCUUUUAUAUGAGAAGAUAAUGACGGUAUCAUAUGAAUAAGCACCGGCUAACUCCGUGCCAGCAGCCGCGGUAAUACGGGGGGUGCAAGCGUUACCCGGAAUCACUGGGCGUAAAGAGCAUGUAGGCUGGUUUGUAAGUUGGAAGUGAAAUCCUAUGGCUUAACCAUAGAACUGCUUCCAAAACUGCAGACCUAGAAUAUGGGAGAGGUAGAUGGAAUUUCUGGUGUAGGGGUAAAAUCCGUAGAGAUCAGA
rnacentral:rRNA from 1 species